AGCUUUGUGUGGUGGUAGUAUCGUAGCCAAUGAGGUUUAUCCAAGGCGCGAUUAUCACUAAUUGAAAACUUAAAGCAAGG
rfam:Rattus norvegicus chromosome 10, whole genome shotgun sequence.